AGAUUGGGUACACUUAUCAAGGUGAUCUUGUCCUUUGUUUCAAGUGAAGAGUAAAAGUGCUGAACAAGAAGAUAAUGUAAGUGGAAAUCUAGAAUCAAUGAAUGUUAUUUUAAAUUACAUAUACUUUCUAUAUUCAAAAUAAUAAAUUGUACAACUGGAUAUUAAUUUUACAGUCUAGAGAUAAAAGCUUGAAUGGUUUAGAUAACCUUCAAAAUAACAAGUGCAAAUUGUUAUCUUGGUUUGGGGAAGUUGAUAUUGUUGCAAAAGGUGAAAUCGCAUCAAAAGAUCCAAAUGAUCUAGUGCAUCAUGUACCCCUUGGUAAUGAAUGUUGGAGAGUU
rnacentral:lncRNA from 1 species